rnacentral:lncRNA from 1 species
GCCGUAGCGUGCGCUUCAAAGCCGUAGUUUGCAGGGGUACCCCUUUCAUUCAAGAGUAGCUUAUGAAGACAGAUUACUUAAUUGAUUAAAGUUUUUGAUGUGUCUCGUGCAUACGAGAAGAUAUCAACCUAUUAAUCUUACUAAUAAGAGUCAGACUGACAGGUUAUAGAGCACAUAGCCUCUAGCGGAGCGAAGUCUUAGCUGGAAGUGAAAGCUGUAAGGAGAGUGCCAAGUAGCUUAGGUUGGGAUAAAUAUUUUUAAGGAAGCAAAGGGAAAGGCCGC